rnacentral:rRNA from 1 species
CUGGUUGAUCCUGCCAGACCCUACUGCUAUCAGAGUGAGAUUAAGCCAUGCGAGUCAACGUACCAAUACGUGGCAUACGGCUCAGUAACACGUAUUCAACAUAACCAAAGGACGUGGAUAAACUCGGGAAACUGAGGCUAAACCGCGAUAGUUCAAGAUACCUGGAAUGGUUUUUGAUCAAAAUCUAUAUGGCCUUUGGAUUGGACUGCGUCCGAUCAGGCUGUUGGUGAGGUAAUGGCCCACCAAAUCUAUCACCGGUACGGGCUCUGAGAGGAGGAUCCCGGAUAUGGGUACUGAAAUAACGACCCCGGCCCUAUGGGGCGCAACAUGGGCUUAACCUCUGCCUUAGGCGAAAGCUUGACAGGGUUACUCUGAGUGACUUUCGUUAAGAAAGUCUUUUGACACCUCUAAUAAUGGUGUAGAAUAAAGGGUGGGCAAGCCUGGUGUCAUCCGCCGCGGUAAUACCAGCACCCCAAGUGGUCGGGACGAUUAUUGGGCCUAAAGCAUCCGUAGCCGGUCUUACCAGUUAUCCGUUAAAUCUAGCUGCUUCAGGAUGGGCUGCGGAGGAUACUAUUAGACUAGGAGGCAUGAGAGGCAAUCCUCCCUCAAUAGGUAGGGGUGGAUUCUGUUGAUCCAUUGACGAUCACCAAUGGCGAACGCGGAUUGCCAGAAUGCCCUCGACAGAGACGGAUGAAAUCUGGAGGAGCAAACCGGACCAGAUACCCGGGCAGUCCCCAGCUGUAAACU